rnacentral:misc_RNA from 1 species
GAUGAAGAACGUAGCGAAAUGCGAUAAGUAAUGUGAAUUGCAGAAUUCAGUGAAUCAUCGAAUCUUUGAACGCACAUUGCGCCCUCUGGUAUUCCGGGGGGCAUGCCUGUUCGAGCGUCAUUACAACCCUCAAGCUUGCUUGGUAUUGGACAUUGCCAGUUUCUGGCAGGUCUUAAAAUCAGUGGCGGUGCCAUUUGGCUUCAAGCGUAGUAAUUCUUCUCGCUUUGGAGAUCCAAGUGGUUACUUGCCAAUAACCCCCAAUUUUUUCAGGUUGACCUCGGAUCAGGUAGGGAUACCCGCUGAACUUAAGCAUAUCAAUAAGCGGAGGA